GUCUUUUUGCCAACAUGAUAUAACAGUCAAACACAGCAAGCGUGAAUGUCUCAGGACUCGGCCUACCUUCCUUGGGGGUGGGUAGUCCGAGCCCGAGUCAAUGUGUGGGGAGGGGGACUGCGCCAUGUUAGCGACGAGCCCCGACUGCCACCAUCCAUGAUUUGUUAAUGAUCCUUCCGCAGGUUCACCUACGGAAA
rnacentral:misc_RNA from 1 species